rnacentral:misc_RNA from 1 species
UCCGGUUUGUCACCGGCAGUCUCCUUAGAGUGCCCACCAUUACGUGCUGGUAACUAAGGACAAGGGUUGCGCUCGUUACGGGACUUAACCCAACAUCUCACGACACGAGCUGACGACAGCCAUGCAGCACCUGUCUCAAUGUUCCCGAAGGCACUCCGCUAUCUCUAGCAGAUUCAUUGGAUGUCAAGGCCUGGUAAGGUUCUUCGCGUUGCCUCGAAUUAAACCACACGCUCCGCUGCUUGUGCGGGCCCCCGCCUAUUCCUUUGAGUUUCAAUCUUGCGAUCGUACUUCCCAGGUGGGAUACUUAAUGCUUUCGCUCAGACACUUGCUGUGUAUCGCAAAUGUCGAGUAUCCAUCGUUUAGGGCGUGGACUAC